rnacentral:tRNA from 1 species
GGAGAGAUGGCUGAGUGGUCGAAAGCACCGGUCUUGAAAACCGGCAGGGCACUUAGUUGCCCUCGAGAGUUCGAAUCUCUCUCUCUCCGCCA